GUCCCUACGGGCGCAGCAGUAGGGAAUCUUCGGCAAUGGACGAAAGUCUGACCGAGCAACGCCGCGUGAGUGAAGAAGGUUUUCGGAUCGUAAAACUCUGUUGGUAGAGAAGAACGUUGGUGAGAGUGGAAAGCUCAUCAAGUGACGGUAACUACCCAGAAAGGGACGGCUAACUACGUGCCAGCAGCCGCAGCAAUACGUAGGUCCCGAGCGUUGUCCGGAUUUAUUGGGCGUAAAGAGAGCGCAGGGGGUUUAGUAAGUCUGGUGUAAAGGGCAGUGGCUCAACCA
rnacentral:rRNA from 1 species